rnacentral:rRNA from 1 species
GACAGCAGUCGCCGCGGUAAUACGAAGGGUGCAAGCGUUAAUCGGAAUUACUGGGCGUAAAGCGUGCGUAGGCGGUUUGUUAAGUCUGUUGUGAAAUCCCCGGGCUCAACCUGGGAAUGGCAAUGGAUACUGGCAAGCUAGAGUGUGUCAGAGGAUGGUGGAAUUCCCGGUGUAGCGGUGAAAUGCGUAGAGAUCGGAAGGAACAUCAGUGGCGAAGGCGGCCAUCUGGGACAACACUGACGCUGAGGCACGAAAGCGUGGGGAGCAAACAGGAUUAGAUACCCGAGUAGUCCCUGUCUCUUAUAC